UGCGCGCAGGGACGGCCGGAGGCCCGGUGGCCGACGAGUGCGCAGGCGCCGGGGCGGAAGCCCGAAGACCGAAGGGGGAGGUGGGAGGUCUCUCCCGGCGGCCCCGGCGGCCAUGUUGGGCGCUCUGGGUCUGAGGCAACCGUGGAAGUGCUAGAGAGGACUCUCGAAUGUGCUCGGUAGAUGUGGCAAGGAGUGAGGGAAGCGUGCUACUAAAUCUCCUGUGACCUGAGUGCAACCACGCAACAAUCCUUAAAAAAAAAAAAAAAAAAAAAACACGACGUCCUAUAGUCAUUUAUGAGUUAAUCGUCUGGAUUUCGGCUUUUGCUAAGUUUCUGAGAUUUAAAACUCGGCUGGACCCAAAGAAAAGCUCACUUAAUGUCAAGAUCCAUGUGAUUGCGAGAUUCCAGAAUAUUUUUUAGUCACACACAGAGAGAGGCAGAGACACAGGCAGAGGGAGAAGCAGGCUCCAUGCA